AGUGGAUUAGCGGCGGACGGGUGAGUAACACGUGGGUAACCUGCCUCAAAGUGGGGGAUAGCCUUCCGAAAGGAAGAUUAAUACCGCAUAACAUAAGAGAAUCGCAUGAUUUUCUUAUCAAAGAUUUAUUGCUUUGAGAUGGACCCGCGGCGCAUUAGCUAGUUGGUAAGGUAACGGCUUACCAAGGCAACGAUGCGUAGCCGACCUGAGAGGGUGAUCGGCCACAUUGGAACUGAGACACGGUCCAGACUCCUACGGGAGGCAGCAGUGGGGAAUAUUGCGCAAUGGGGGAAACCCUGACGCAGCAACGCCGCGUGGGUGAUGAAGGUCUUCGGAUUGUAAAGCCCUGUUUUCUGGGACGAUAAUGACGGUACCAGAGGAGGAAGCCACGGCUAACUACGUGCCAGCAGCCGCGGUAAUACGUAGGUGGCGAGCGUUGUCCGGAUUUACUGGGCGUAAAGGGUGCGUAGGCGGAUGUUUAAGUGGGAUGUGAAAUCCCCGGGCUUAACCUGGGGGCUGCAUUCCAAACUGGAUAUCUAGAGUGCAGGAGAGGAAAGCGGAAUUCCUAGUGUAGCGGUGAAAUGCGUAGAGAUUAGGAAGAACACCAGUGGCGAAGGCGGCUUUCUGGACUGUAACUGACGCUGAGGCACGAAAGCGUGGGUAGCAAACAGGAUUAGAUACCCUGGUAGUCCACGCCGUAAACGAUGGAUACUAGGUGUAGGGGGUAUCAACUCCCCCUGUGCCGCAGUUAACACAAUAAGUAUCCCGCCUGGGGAGUACGGUCGCAAGAUUAAAACUCAAAGGAAUUGACGGGGGCCCGCACAAGCMGCGGAGCAUGUGGUUUAAUUCGAAGCAACGCGAAGAACCUUACCUGGACUUGACAUCCCUUGCAUAGCCUAGAGAUAGGUGAAGCCCUUCGGGGCAAGGAGACAGGUGGUGCAUGGUUGUCGUCAGCUCGUGUCGUGAGAUGUUAGGUUAAGUCCUGCAACGAGCGCAACCCUUGUUAUUAGUUGCUACCAUUAAGUUGAGCACUCUAAUGAGACUGCCUGGGUAACCAGGAGGAAGGUGGGGAUGACGUCAA
rnacentral:rRNA from 1 species